GACGAACGCUGGCGGCGUGCUUAACACAUGCAAGUCGAACGGAAAGGCCCUGCUUUUGUGGGGUGCUCGAGUGGCGAACGGGUGAGUAACACGUGAGUAACCUGCCCUUGACUUUGGGAUAACUUCAGGAAACUGGGGCUAAUACCGGAUAGGAGCUCCUGCUGCAUGGUGGGGGUUGGAAAGUUUCGGCGGUUGGGGAUGGACUCGCGGCUUAUCAGCUUGUUUGUGGGGUAGUGGCUUACCAAGGCUUUGACGGGUAGCCGGCCUGAGAGGGUGACCGGCCACAUUGGGACUGAGAUACGGCCCAGACUCCUACGGGCGGCAGCAGUGGGGAAUAUUGCACAAUGGGCGGAAGCCUGAUGCAGCAACGCCGCGUGCGGGAUGACGGCCUUCGGGUUGUAAACCGCUUUCGCCUGUGACGAAGCGUGAGUGACGGUAAUGGGUAAAGAAGCACCGGCUAACUACGUG
rnacentral:rRNA from 1 species